rnacentral:rRNA from 1 species
CAGCAGCCACGGGAAUACGAAGGGUGCAAGCGUUACUCGGAAUUACUGGGCGUAAAGCGUGCGUAGGUGGUGGUUUAAGUCCGUUGUGAAAGCCCUGGGCUCAACCUGGGAAUUGCAGUGGAUACUGGGUCACUAGAGUGUGGUAGAGGAUAGUGGAAUUUCCGGUGUAGCAGUGAAAUGCGUAGAGAUCGGAAGGAACAUCUGUGGCGAAGGCGACUAUCUGGGCCAACACUGACACUGAGGCACGAAAGCGUGGGGAGCAAACAGGAUUAGAGACCCCCGUAGUCCCUGUCUCCUAUAC